rnacentral:lncRNA from 1 species
ACAACGCUUCAGGCCUUCAAAUUUAUCUCAGAGAUGGAAGCUGGAUUCCAGUCCCACCUGAUCACAACUCCUUCUUCAUCAACGUUGGAGAUUCUCUUCAGGUACAACACAAAGCAAUGUUAUUGGUGCACACCAAAAAGUUCAACGAGCAAAAUGAAAAUGAAAAAUCCCAUCUUUUUUAUUACCUUCGUAUUUAUAUGGACAAGUGGAAAAAACCCAUCUUUUUUAUACAAAUUUCCCUUUUGGGUGCCUUUUUGAAAAUGUGUGUGACUUGUUAAUUGUUUACAUUUCCAUUUGGUCUUCAAACUCCCUCCCCUUUCCAGAACACCAUGGAGAAAAAUUCAAAAAGGAAAUAAGAAAGGAGAAGCAAAAAGUUUUGCUUUCACGUUUAUGUCAGUAUGGAAUAGUAUUAUAUUGAAAAGGGGUU